rnacentral:rRNA from 1 species
AGCGAACGCUGGCGGCAGGCCUAACACAUGCAAGUCGAACGGGCCCCUUCGGGGGUCAGUGGCAGACGGGUGCGUAACGCGUGGGAACGUGCCCUUCAGUUCGGAACAACCCAGGGAAACUUGGGCUAAUACCGGAUACGCCCUUCGGGGGAAAGAUUCAUCGCUGAAGGAGCGGCCCGCGUCUGAUUAGCUUGUUGGUGGGGUAAUGGCCCACCAAGGCGACGAUCAGUAGCUGGUCUGAGAGGAUGAUCAGCCACACUGGGACGGAGACACGGCCCAGACUCCUACGGGAGGCAGCAGUGGGGAAUAUUGGACAAUGGGCGAAAGCCUGAUCCAGCCAUGCCGCGUGAGUGAUGAAGGCCCUAGGGUUGUAAAGCUCUUUCGGCGGGGACGAUAAUGACGGUACCCGCAGAAGAAGCCCCGGCUAACUUCGUGCCAGCAGCCGCGGUAAGAC